UUUUACUUCUGUAUUUGCAGUUUUGACCGAGAAGAUGAGCAGUUUGCCCGGAGAAGAGAGGAGAUCAGGCAGAGAGCAGAUGAACGGAGGGCGGAGAGGAAGGUGAAACACGACGAGAUCCGCAAGAAGUACGGUCUCAUCCCAGACUCCGAUCAUCCAUUACAGCAAGUUCGAGAACGAGUGAAAGCCACGGACCGGAGACGGAGAUCAGCCUCUCAGACGCCGCUUCUCUUCUCCGUGUUACUCUGAAGACCCGUCCUCUUCCUCCUCGUCCUCCUCGUCACGAUUUCUAACGCUCUCAAAUCAAAACGGUGAAAUGAUAUCAAAGUGAUUGUAGGCCUGAAACGCCGGCGGAUGUCUUCGGUAGAGGCCAGAAUGUAAAAAGAUAAGCUGAUUUAUUUUUAAUCCUCACUAGCAGACAUCUUUUUCUAGUUUCAUGCUAAACUCUGCAUUUUUCAGAAAAACAAGCGUGUCUUGAUUUAAGAAUGUAUGCACGCUCGUUUCCGAAAAGCAAGAUGAAAAUGCUUUUUUGUUGUUGUUGUUGUACAUUUUAAUGCUGUUUCGAUUGUGACUCUGUUUCUCUGCUUUCUUAUAGAGAGUUAAAAGAUGACUUUAUUGUUCUAGAAAUACAGCAUCACACGCACCGCUGUCACGAUGCGUUCAGAUAAUGCUUUUUCCUUUUGGGCC